AGUGAACGCUGGCGGUAGGCCUGACACAUGCAAGUCGAACGGCAGCACAGGAGAGCUUGCUCUCUGGGUGGCGAGUGGCGGACGGGUGAGGAAUACAUCGGGAUCUACUCUGUCGUGGGGGAUAACGUAGGGAAACUUACGCUAAUACCGCAUACGACCUACGGGUGAAAGCAGGGGACCUUCGGGCCUUGCGCGAUUGAAUGAGCCGAUGUCGGAUUAGCUAGUUGGCGGGGUAAAGGCCCACCAAGGCGACGAUCCGUAGCUGGUCUGAGAGGAUGAUCAGCCACACUGGAACUGAGACACGGUCCAGACUCCUACGGGAGGCAGCAGUGGGGAAUAUUGGACAAUGGGCGCAAGCCUGAUCCAGCCAUACCGCGUGGGUGAAGAAGGCCUUCGGGUUGUAAAGCCCUUUUGUUGGGAAAGAAAUCCAGCUGGCUAAUACCCGGUUGGGAUGACGGUACCCAAAGAAUAGGCACCGGCUAACUUCGUGCCAGCCGCCGCCGUAA
rnacentral:rRNA from 1 species